AAAGUAAAAGUACGUUCACAUAUGCAUUAUUUACCAAUUGAUCCACAAAAUUAACCUACCCGUUCACAUAUGGCAGAUUACCUGCAAAAUUGACAAUCAGCUGUCAGUACUGUUGUGAAAAGUUGUUCUACAUAGAAAAUAGAUCUAAAAUAAAAUAAAUAGAAAAUUAAUUAUCUAUUACACAGAAAACACAGAGUUGUAUAUCAAAAAGUAUGGUUAUUAUCUAGAAAUAUUUUAUAAUUUCAGAUUUUGGGAGAUAAAUUUUGUAUGGGAAAUCUAGCUUUUUAAAUACGGAUUGGGAGUUAAGCACUAAAAAGUAGAUCAUCUACUUAUAUGAGAACGCAUCAUAAGCUUAUCAAAGACUUGGAUGAGUGGCAUCACAGAAGUAAUCAACACUGAAGUAAACAAACAGUAGAAAAUAAAUGUACAUACAAAAGUAUAUAAACAAUAGAAGUACUUGCGAUUUAUGGGACGAAAUUUAGAUAAUUUGUCAUUAGAUGGAAAUUAAAGUGUUUUCUUCGGCUAUCCAGCUCAGUAUGCCGAACAAUUUCCAUGGGAACGAACCGAAGGAUGGGAAAACGAAUGGAUGCACUGGCUGACAUGUUCCACACAGCAAAUGUGUAAUUUAAUAAUAUUUAUUAUUACUACUCAAAGGAUCAUACCCGUGUAAAUUGAUUGGAAUACUGAGUUGGACAACCGAAGAAAACAUGCUAAUUAUUGACUUCGUGUUUGUGUACACGUACAUAUGUAACUUAAUUUGCUUGUCAGUGCUACCAGUUGCAGAAGGACUUGGUGACAAACGUACAACGAAAAUAAAAACGAACAGAACGGAUCAUAAAUUGAACCAUUAACCGAGUCCAUGGACUAGCGUUGUAAUAUUAUAUGAAACAAUAAAGGGCGCAGAGGUACGGUGCACAACACAGCUAGUUCACUGGGGGCGACAGCCCUUUGGUCGAGAAAAACCCGAAUCAUUCCGGUAACGUAGAACUGGCUGACAUGGGACGCUCAUAUUUUUCACUUUAUAACUUUCCUAAUACAAUAGCGAAAUAGAACAAAUCAUAGCACGACUUAUUUAUUUAUUACUUCUUCCCAAAUAUUAAACUGUGUUACUGACCAGAUGAUAAUUGAACUUUGUAGAUGAGUUUGAUUUGAAAAAGAAACCACUCAUCGUCCAGAAGUAAUAGGUACUAGUAGCAUAAACUACAUAUGGCAUACCUUCAAUAUAAAAUCAUGAUUUCCUCCAAUUUUUUACGCUUCAAAUCGGGUACAACACAAUCUUCAGCAGCAUAACCUACAGGCAAUAAUAAAAGCAAUUUUUCAUUUUCUGGUCUGUCUAGAAGAAUUCGUAAUGCGUGCCCGCAAUUCAAAGGUGUAGUUACCAAAGAAUUCAGACCAGCAGACUGCAAAGCACACAAUAGAAUUCCGGUGGCAAUUGCUAGGGAUAUCUCAUUGUAGUAAUGUUGCUUGCGACCGCCAUCUGGCAAAUGGCCAUACACUUGUUUGAACACUAGAAUUAAAUAUGGUGCAUCAGUGAGAUACGAUUUAACAUGAUUUGUGCGCAGUGGACGCAAAUCGGCUGUCCAUUGACGGUGCAUACGUUGAGCAUAAUUCAACUCUUCCUCUGCUUCGAUGACAUCGCGAAUACGUUGCUUCAAGUCAGCAUCUCUGACGACACAGAAUGUCCAUGGUUCGGUAUGUGCACCACUAGGAGCUGUACCAGCUGCACGUAUGCAAUUCUCAAUAACAUCUAGCGGUGGAAUAGGUGUGGUACGGUAAGAGCGUACGCUGCGACGAUCAUUUGCUAUGGCAUAGAACUGCUUGACACCACCAGGAAGCGUAACAGUUGCGCCACAAAAUGGAACAUGAUUAUCAACUUUCAAUGCUGGAACAUAGGAGUUGUAGGAGGUGUCGUCAUGUGCCUCUUCAUUAUUUUCGAAUGUAUCACUGCUGGUGAAGUCAGCUGCGUAAGAGCAAUCAACGCGCCUUGCCAGUUUUUCACCAACAAGGAAUUUUUAUAUAGUGAAGUGAUAUCCAUUUUUCCACUCCUUUCACUGGCU